UGCAAGCAGCCAGGCAGCAGCUCGACGCCCUGCCCAAACUCAUUUCAUAUCUGCCCAUGGAAAGGAGAAGGGAUUUUCCCCUUCAGCCUGGCUUCCUCAUACCUCAACUGCAACCUCAGUGUCUGACAAACAGAGGAGGUCGGUGCAGAAACAAAAGCAGAAGGUGUCAGAGUGCACGCCUGGGGACAUGAAAGGCCGAACCAGUGCAGAGUGUGGAUCUCCAUCAACUCUCUUUCCUCAAGAAAAAGAUGUGAAACCACAUUCUGAACUGAGAUGUCAACAAAGAAGGAGUGGAAGAUUUUCAAAAAGGAAAUCCUCCACGGCGUCCCGCAGAGCGGCGGCUCUGCUCAGGAGAGACGACUGUUUUCUGAUUCGUUAAGGUUUGUAUCCACAGAGGAGGAUUCAAGCCGUCUUCUCUGAUACACAAACAUUACAUUCAUAGUUCUAUGUCUUUGUACUUGUUACUUUGUCUAUUUUGACAUUUAAGCUGUUUUUAUUUUGGAUAUAAAUGUUGUAUAUACAUUAAACCAGACUAGCUAGAAUUAGUAAAAUACUAAGAAUAAUGUUUUAAAGUCAAACUAGUAGCUUUCUUCAGAGUUUGAUACAGUUACAAUCUAAACUGCAUGACUUUAAACUUACAUUUUCUUCUCACCAGAGUUUGCUGGGGUUUGGUCCCAUUCCUCUCUACAACUUACCCAGUUUAACUGGUUAAACUCCUAAAUCACAUAAAUCUCCUCUGGGCAGGGUUACCAUGUUUACCCAGAUAAAGUAAUCAGCUACUGAUUACUGAUUGAUCCUUUAUAGGUGACCUAACAUGCAAAAUGCAAUGUUUAUUUCUUGUUUCACAACUGGUGAUUGAAUGAUGUCCCCAAUUGUCACUUUGUUUCUGACAUGAAGUAUUCAAAUAAACUCUAACGUUAGCUUUAAUAUUCGCUUCUUACACAUUUUUAUCCUUCUAUUUGGGUCUCUGCUGCUUCUAGAAAUAAUCCAACCCUUUAAAAAACACCCAGUUUUUUUUUUCUUUUGGUGUUUGGAAGAAAAACUGUCUAAAAAACCUCCUGUAUUACGACCAAUAUUAUGGCAGUUACCUAGCAACCCCAGCUGAGCCACCCCAUCACCUAGCAACCGAGGCAGAGUUCCAGCACGUUAAGUCGGCUGCUGUUCUUUCUUCAUAAAACGUAAACAAAAUGAGCGGCGUUAGAUUUUAGCAGUUGUUGGAUUUCGGUUUGGUUUUUACCAAAAACCAUGAGACAUUUCUCUAAAUCAGGGGCGUCCAGACUUUUUGUCACAUGGACCAAAAUCAUAUAUAUUCUUCCUUCCCAACA